AAGUAAGGUGACCUCAUUGUGACAACUGCCAGCCUUUUGUACUUUAUAUGUACCUCUCCCUGAGCUGUGGGCACAGUGGAGAAGGAGGUAACAUUCCAGUGGAAAAGUAAUGUUCUUUUUCAAGGCUUUAGGAGCAGCUAGGCUUCUCUGCUGGAACUUCCAAACAAGCUCUCGAGGUCCCUUUGCAGAGAACAUAACGUAGUUAAGCUUUCAAGUUUCACACUCAUUUGAGCAAGAUACUGCAUGGACCGAAAGUCUUUAAUA
ensembl:misc_RNA 7SK 7SK RNA